UUUUAUUAUUUUUAUUUUUAGCUGAAAAGACGUAAAGGCAGUCAGCCCAGUGGUGUUUCUGGAGAGGGAUUCCUUCAGAAAUGGAGAAGACAGAAAGCUGUGGAGGCAGAUAUAUGCAGCAGUCUAAAAUAUCAAGCUCAACAACUCACUCAAGAGCCAACCCUCACAAACCUUCCUAAAAACUAAAAGAGCUAUUACUGAGUCUCAGCGAAUCUUGCCAUGAUCAGCUCUUCCCAGAAGAGAAGGAAGACCAAGGAAAUGAUUUGCUCAGGAUGAGGAAUGAAGAUGGCCAUCUUGUGCUCAAACAAACAGAAGUCCUCUGAUGAUCUCAUCAGCCAAAUGAGAGGUUUUGACCAAGUGAUGCUCUUGAAAGGAGUGAAAGAAGAGGAUGUGCUAAAUUCUCUUCAGAGAAAAAGCUUCUCAAAAGGUCUUAAAACAGCUUGAAGAAUGGUCUGGGAUCUUAGGACUGAGAGAUCCUCUGGCUGAGGACAAGCUACACCACAUCAGUGCUGGAUAUCAACCACAAACUGUUUCCAGACACGAGAGAAGAAGAACACGAUGGGGAGAUGAAACCAGUUUAGAUGUGAUGAUGGGAAUCAUUAUUUUCUGGAACAGUAUCUCAUGUCUUAUAUGUAUCACAUGAUCUGUAUCACAGUUGACUGGAUGGGACUGUGUGACUUUUAAGGACAUUUCAUCACUCAUCUGUGUGAACUGAUUUAUAUAUGAGGUUAAUGUAUUUUUGAUGAUAAUUAUUUUCAUUGAAUCUUAUUCGUCUUGAUGCUACUUUAUCAACUUUAUAGUCUAUGCUUCAAUAAAAUGAAAAUGGUGAA